rnacentral:lncRNA from 1 species
UGACAAAAUGACAUGUAUUGUGUUUAAUUAAAAGUAAGUCAUCUUUUGCAGGGGCUUUCAGGUCGGUUACCUUUUGUUGAGUUUAGAGCAGUGCUGUAUUAUGCCAUAACUUCUGAAGUGUCUUUUUCCUUUGAAAGUAGUGAAAAAGAGUAAAACAUAACUUUUUUUUUUUCUUUUUUAGCACAUGGAUUAAUUGAUGGACCUUGGGUUUAUGGAGCUACCUUUUCAUGACCUGCUUUUCCUACAGUUUCUAAGAAGAAAAGGGGGCCUCUGAAUCAAAGAAGAUGCCUCGAACUAAACAGAUUCAUCCCAGAAAUCUAAGAGACAAAAUUGAAGAAGCACAAAAAGAACUAAAUGGGGCAGAAGUGUCAAAAAAAGAUGUGUUUUGUUGGGCUGUGCUAUAUGUACGAAGAAUAUCAAUUUUUAAGGAUGAUGAUUUAGAAUUCUGCACCAACCACCAAGCUUGGGAUACUGUAGUAGCUAUUUCAUUCAAGAAGAGAUUUGGAAAAAGAAAAUGAGACUCUGUGGGUGAGUGAGAAAAGGCCGGAAGGGGACUGAGCAAAACUUAAACGAGAGCAAACGUAUAUAGUACCAUAUGCGCCUAGCUGGAUGUUCAGUGAGUGAGGACGUGCUUUGGCAGAUGGCGUUGGGAGUGCGGCUCUGCACCAGAACGCGGAGGCCCCUAUGUGGGCUCCUUUCCGGAAGCCCACCACAUAGCACCGAGUGACCCACUUAGUAACUGGUAACAGAACCCUUCCACAGCUACCUGUGUCUCUUCAGUGUGAAGACAGCUCCUAACAGCCGACGAGAUCUCAGCCCGUUAAGCUCUUUGCCUCACCCCUGCCACACGGAUGAGCCUCCGGUUCCCUUUUGCCCAAGAUCAUACACUGGCACCUCCUGCGGUUCCUGGUGUGUAUAGUAGGCACUGGGCAAAUAUUUAUUUGGCUGUUCUGAGCACCCAGGCUGGCCUGUAAUAUUAAAUCUGUUUUGUGACUUAAUUGGUAGUGUUUCCUUAUAUUUAAUAUGAAACGUUACUAUAUGAAAGUCAAGCGUUUGUGAGGGAAGAAGAGCAUGUCUAUGUCUUCAGGAGAUGUACUGUUAUUUUCUUUGCUAAUUAGAGACCUGUUCAAGUUUGUGCCUUCUUGGGUUGAUUGUAUUUAUAACUUCUUAUAUUCUGUAUGUUAUACAAGUAUCCAAAUAUUUUAAGAUAGAGUAUAACCUUCUCUCAUAAGUUUAAAUAAUUUUUAUUGUUGCUG